rnacentral:rRNA from 1 species
GACGAACGCUGGCGGCGUGCUUAACACAUGCAAGUCGAACGGAAAGGCCCUGCUUUUGUGGGGUGCUCGAGUGGCGAACGGGUGAGUAACACGUGAGUAACCUGCCCUUGACUUUGGGAUAACUUCAGGAAACUGGGGCUAAUACCGGAUAGGAGCUCCUGCUGCAUGGUGGGGGUUGGAAAGUUUCGGCGGUUGGGGAUGGACUCGCGGCUUAUCAGCUUGUUGGUGGGGUAGUGGCUUACCAAGGCUUUGACGGGUAGCCGGCCUGAGAGGGUGACCGGCCACAUUGGGACUGAGAGACGGACCAGACUCCUACGGGAGGCAGCAGGGGGGAAUAUUGCCCAAUGGGCGGAAGCCUGAUGAAGCAACGCCGCGUGCGGGAUGACGGCCUUCGGGUUGUAAACCGCUUUCGCCUGUGACGAAGCGUGAGUGACGGUAAUGGGUAAAGAAGCACCGGCUAACUACGUG